rnacentral:lncRNA from 1 species
GGAACAGAGCAGUAGCAGAUGUAACUGGGCAUGUUCAAAGCUAGAAAAGACCCAGAAAAACAGUUUCACCAAAACUCCAAACACACCCUGCUACAAAGACAGCAAAUUACCAUCGCUGAACCAACACUUUUAUAUUGUUAAAACAAGCUGCUGAAAUGAUCCUCUAGCCAGGAAUGCUGGAUGAGCAGCUGCCUGUGGAUUGGUGCCAGCACUGCACUGGAAACUGGAAAGGAGCAUAGGCUGGCUUUGCCCCUGUGUCUCCUUCCAGACAGAUAAAAACCCUGAGUUCCUCACUGGAGAUGCUGAUCUGGGAUCCCAAGCUUUGCUCCCAUCACCCUGAGGGACAUCCCAGCAUUUUCCGGGGCUGAGGAUGCCAAACUGAACUUCCUGUUUCUCUGGCUGGGUAUGGAGAACGCCAGCCUGAGAUCUGCGAGGCAUCAAUUAUAAUCCUGACUGCAUUUCCCAAAAUAAAUGUUUUGUGCAUUUUUGUAGCAGAUCAUCCAAUAAUAGCACACAGCUCCAGCAACUAAUGGAACACAAGUCUGCUUCCAAUGUGUCAGAUAAUAAUUGUGCUGUAACAUCGCAGUGCAUACAUGAAUAAAUACAAUUCCAAAUUCAAUGAGAUAUUUUCCUUCUGCUGCUCCUCCUGCCACAAAUGAAUACACCAGCAAUUAAUUACUGUGCUCAGCAACUCCCUGCAGCAAUUGUGUAAUAGAAUCAUUUUCAGUCCCUUGUCUCGUAACCUUUGAGAUAAGUUUCAUGGGUCUGGAAUGGCAAGCAUAAAAAUAUAUGGGUUUGUUCACUUAGUGUUUGUAAAUGUUACAGCUCUCAGAUACCAGCCAUAACUUUCUCAAAGUCCUACUCCACUGGUUAUAAAUCCUGGAGUACAUUUGAAUAUUAGAAUCAUCUGAGCUCACAACUGAAAAUAAGGAAUCUUCCUCAAUCAGAAUCAUUUGCAUGUUACUUUUUAUGGUAAAACUUAUAUAUAUUUAUAUUACUAAUAUUUGAAAAAUUGAUAUUGGUUCCUACUAGCUGUCAACCAUUUAAGUGGUUAAGACUACACUAGUGUAUUCCAACCUCAUAAAGUCACUGGAAGUGCUACCACUGAUUUCAGUGCAGCCAGGAACGUCACUAUUGUCUAUCACUGAAAAAAAUAAAGAAUUUAAACUAAUAUCCUGUCAUCACACCUCUACUCUUUUAAGCAAUUAUUUUUAGGAUGCACAACUGAAAGUUGCUGAGUUCUUCAGCCAUUGUGAAAGGACUUGCACACCGAGAAAACCACAAAGCUAUUUCCUGACCCUAUUUUGCGAGCGUUUAAAGUCCAGUGAGGUCACGUGCCUGGAGCUGACAACGCAGCACAGGAUGAACACUGAGCAGACACUCUCUGGGUGAUGAAAUGCAAUGUAAUCUUGCAAGUGUCUUGAUGACAGUAUUAUCUAUGUUGCACAGAUGGCUCAGAAAAAGCCAACUUUCUCUGGUUCUCCUGGGCAAAAGUGAGUCCAAGAGGGGAAACAUAAGAAUUGGGAAAAAUAGGUAGGGGGAGCAAUUUUUGGAGAAAUCCAAGCUUUCUGAAUCUGAAAUUAGACCACAGAUCCUUGGGGAAAUGACUUUCCAGGCUGAAUGAGCAGCAAGAGCAGAACUGAUAAAGCUGAAAAAUAAACCUCCUGAAUCUUGCAGACCAGCUCUCAGCCAGGAAUAGUGCCACAUAUGCAACAUACCAAGGAAAAUUAAUAACAAAAAAAAGAAAUCUGAGCUUUCCAACUGGAAACACAACAUGGCCCUGUGCUUAGAGAGAUGGACUGGGACUCAAUUCUUUUUCUGCUACUAUUGGGCUGUACAACCAGAGCUGUCUUCAAUGUCAUCCUUCAAGAAAGCAAUCUCUCUCUGGGAUGUGUAGUGGCCAGAAAAUGAAGGCUUUGCAAACAAACUAUUAAAAAAUAAUUAAUUCCAAAAGUUCCAAGGUGCCCCUUAGGCCAAGACAUCAAGAAUAACAUUACCAGGAGUUAGAACUAGUCAUAAAACAUUUUUAAGACUCAAAUGCUAAUAAAAAAUAGAGUAAAAUUAUGAAAUUAUAGUAAUUUAUGAAAAUAAAAUUAGCAAAUAUGUUUCCUAAGUUCUGUCUAGCUUUCCUCCUCACAUCUCUGCUCAAUGAAUAUUCAUGCAGCACUGAUUAAUUUAUUAAAGCUGAGCUCAAGACUGUACAGGACACACACUGAAGUCUGGUGCUCCUUUUUUAAGGAAGUCUUUUUUUGGGUUAUUUCAAACUGUUAGGUAUCCCAAAAAAUGAGAGAAAAAAUGAACUGGGGUUAGAUCCAACCAUAUCCUUAAACUGCAUGCCCAGUGACUGGAGAUACUUCUGGACCUGGGAUUUGCUUCUGCAAGCUGAGGGAUGGACAGAGUCCCUCCACCCCACUGGGCAGAUCUCCUGAUCCACCGUGCAAUGCCAUCUCUAGCUGGCAUCUCACAAUUCCACUGUGGGAUUUCUCCCACGGUCUUCAUCUCUGUAGGUGCCUGCAGUGGCUGAUAUCUACCUUUGAGGCAAUGGGAUUAUCAGUCUUGACUCCACAUUUUCUAGGGCUUAGGCGUACUGGGCAAAUUCUGCUGACAAGAGCCAUCCCACACACACCAGUGACUUGGCAGAGCAGGGCUGACCAGCAGCACAUGCUACUGAGUGUGCUGGAGUCUGCAGAACACCCACCAUGGAAGGUGCAGGCCUUUAUCUCUGCAGUUAUUCACUGAUCUUCAUUUAUAUCCUUCCCAGAGAGGCCUUAUCACCUACUCUCAAUGCACAGGGCUCCCCAGUGCAGCCAGUCCCCAGAGCAGCUCAGAUAAAGUCCUGGUUAUUGUUUAUCUUCAGCUCUUCUGCAAACCACCAGACUGCAGCAGACUGGGCUAUGCUGCCAAUCCAAAAUACAGAGAGGUUCAAAACUUGUUUCCAGCUGUCAUCUGUCUAAUCAAAUAAUCUCUCCACUUAAAAAAAACUGGUAUAUAACUGCUGCUCUCCUCUUUGUACCUAUAUCCUCAACCUCACAUUUUUAUUGUAGAGAUUCAGUCAAUGGAGUCAGGCAGAUUAAAAAAAAAUAAAAGGAAGAAAAAAGAAAGAAGUUUUUUGCACAUCACAUCAAAAAGCAAUCGUUCAGCAACACAUGGUUUGUGAAAGAUUUCCUUCAAUAUUAGUGCAUUGCUAACCACUUUUCCAUGCUGCCUGAGCCCCUGGAAACAAAUGAAACCUGAGAAAACACUUGGGAUAUGACCUCAUUUUCUAUUAUAUUUUCUUAAUAGGAUGACAGGUGAGUCAGAGUUGAGACUUCAUGUGUGCAGGAAGUCUAUGGAUCCAACUUUACUCAUCUACAAAUAACAAUAAGACAGAGUACCAGGCAGGAAAUAACUGUAGGGUUGAUUAUCAAGAGAUCCCAUAUUUCUGUACACCUCCAUGCAACCUUAAUUCCUUCAUUUCAGUCUCUUUGUCCAUAUAGAUGGUAAGAGAUCACAGAAAUAUUGUAGGGAUUAAUUAUUUAAAGUCCUUACUUUUGCCUUCGAAAAUGUAAAGCUCUCCAUGCCCACCAGUUUAGGAGGGUGCCCAAAAGGAUUUACAAAAGUACUUAAGCAGGUUAAAUGCCUACAUCCCACUGACUAUCAAAGACUUUCCAUAAACCUUACACUAUAAAUGGAGUGGCAAUAAAGGAGAAUGCUGUCUCCUCAUCUCUGUACUAGCCAGGAGCUGGAACAGUUAUGUUCUAAUGACUACAGCUUAGUCACAGGCAGCCUCUUUGCCCCUGGCUGACACACUGAUCAGAACUUAGGUACCUGUCUGGUUCAAUGUCUUCCAGACCCCAAACCAAUUCCUAAAAUCAACAGGAAGUUCAAACCCUUCAUGUACUGCUGUGCAGGCUGUGUUUGUUACCUGAGUGAGAGCAACUCCUGAACCCAGUGCUGGACACCCACAAAAUGGACAUAUACAGUGACAAUAAUGUGGUGCAGAGGGACGACACACCACAUGCUCUGCUGGAGCUGCCACUCAUUUGAAUCUUCUUGGAUUACUCUGUUCCUCUGAAAUAACUGGCAUGUACAGAUGCCAACGUGCAGGACUCCUCCCAGAGCAGAGCCAGCAAUUAAUUAACUGACCACAGAGGUUUCCUGGCUGCAUGAAGCUGCUGUUGCAACGGGUUGCAUUUCUUCUAUUAGAUUCUAAUUAAAACAUUGUUUCUGAGCUGCUUUCACCAUCAGCUCAGAGACCUUGUAAGGAGGGUUCAGAGACAACAAAACCAGGCAAGUUGUUCCAGUCAGUACUGCUGAUCAGCCCAGUGACCCAGCCUAAAAUGACCAAAGGUGUUUGUGAAGACUGAACAGACCCAGCUACAACCAAAUGCUUUAAGUACAAAUACAGGUGAAGGUCAGCUGCCCAUAGUUAUCCACUCUUUCUUGGGUAGGUUUUGCAGUUCUGCAUUGAAGUGUCCAUAAUGUGGCCAUUUUGGGCCACCUGCACCCAAGUGACCUGGUGCCACGUGUCUAACAUAAGCCUUACCCCGGAUGGAACAGAAGAUGGACCCUACCAGCAGUUAGGAGUUAGAAACCUGGUUUUGUCAUCAGAGAUGCAAAGUGAAGGAUAAAAAGAAGAGGCUUAAAUUACUUUGAAAUGAACUAGAGAAAUUGGCUAGUGCAGAAUGCAGCAACUGCUUUGCUCUCUGGUAGGCUCUGCAUCUUAUGAGGAGAAGAAAAUGGUAGAGCUCAGGGUUUUUUCCCUUGAAAAUUGCAUGCAUCCAGGUGGAACUUGAAUUUUACAAGUCUUCAAGCCCAAACUGUCGUAGGAGCUGUCUGUUUAAAAGAACACAUUUCGGUCAGCACUGCAAUCAAGGGAGCCACAUAUGCUGGAUCCUAUUCAACUUAAUAGAUAGAAAUUUGGCAGUCGAGUGUUCUCCAUAUGGGGAUUUCAGCUGAAGAAAAGCUUGUGCCUUUGCUAUAAAAUAUACUGGGGAGUGUUCCUUUCCAGAGGAAGCUGCCUCUUCAUCUAGAUGGUUGAGGAGAACUGGAUUCAAAAGCUGGCUGGCUCUGCACAUGAAAUUAAGAACAAGUUUAAAAAAAAGAAAAAACCACCCUAAAUGCUGGCUUUCAAAGGGUGUUUGGGAUGUUCCCCUGAAAUUCUGAGCAGUUAUUACCCAUUUUUUCUUGACUGCAUUUUUAGUUUAGGUUUUAUCAUGAGCAUCCAGGGAAAUAGAUUGUCACAUCCAUCAAAAAUAACUGGUAAUGAAUAAAUGUGUCUUUCCAGUCAAUGAAGGAACUGUGAGGAUUCAGAGUAUUGUUGGAAGGUUCAACAAUCUAACAAAAACCCAACAAGUUAUUUCACAAAAAAAAAUUAUACUGAGAUAAAUGCACAAUACAUUUUAUCACUAUGGUGCAGGUAUAAUGCCUCCAUCGUACACCCUUCUGACCAAACUUUCUUUCCCAUCAAAACCAAGAAGUUUAGCCUGAAAAAAUUUCUGUAGGCAAAGCCUAAUAUUUCCAUAGUUGCCAAAGGGAGAGCAAAGAACAAUUGUAAGGACAGGAAACAAACUACACAAUGAGAUUGCUGGGAAUAAUUCCAAUAGCAUGAAAUUAAUGUAAAUCACAAAUAGCUCCUGUGAAGCUAAAGUAAGGAUCUGUGAGAAACCAGAUCCAAGUCCAAUAAGUUAAGUAUGAAUCAGUGAGAAAAGAAAAACAAAAGCAUCACCACAACAGAGAGAUUUAAUAAUGUAGUAAAUUAAUAUUAACACUGAAUGAUCACUAAAGGAAUAAAUACUUCCCUAAUAUUCAAGUCAUAUGGUAGUAGUUUCUUGCAGGAAUGGUAUAAAUCAUAAUGAUUAUCUUGUCUCAGCAAAUCCUAUGGAAGCUACACAAUCCAAAUGGAUCCCACUACAGCUUUCAGAAGAUGCCUCUUUCUGAGCUGGCUUACCUGGAAUAAUGGAUGGUAUCCUGAUGCUUAUCAGCCAAAACAGAUACAUAGAAACCUGCCUGGACUCUCUUAACUCUCCUGCUCCAUCACUCUAAAUGUGUGCAAGUCUCUUUUCUUAAAUGGUUGUUUUGUGGCAGCUUCUCAAGGAAGAAUAGCCAGGGGCACAGCGUGGCUUGCACAGAGCAACCAAUUGCAAUUAUUUCUCUGCUUUUACAUAAUUGAUAUUAUUAAUGUUUUUCAGCUCAAAAUUAAUAAAGACCACGUGCAACUCA